UCCGAUCGCGUUGAGCGAGUCUUGGAGAUUGUUUCGAUUCAUUUUGAUCUUGGAGAGGAAUCGAUUAUACAUUCCAUUUUGACCAAGCUUUGGAAAAUGUUUGACGGGUUGUUAUUCUUUUUUUAAAUUAUAAUUCAGUUCUUUAAUUCAGUUUUCAGAAAAAUAAUUCAAAAUUGAUCGAAAUUGAUAGGGAAUAUGAAUUCCUGUUGAAGAAGUGAAAUUUCAAGAUGAAGUUAAGAGAUGUUAUUUCCUGUUUAUAUUAUAUCUUUAACGGGAAUUAAUAUUAUUGGGGAAAAUUAAGGAACAAUCAGGAAAUUACAUGAAACGAUAAGAACUGAUAUACGUGAAAGAUACCUUCUUAGCCAGAUACAUUCGACUGUAUUUGAUUACUAUUGCAUAAUCCCGUCGUAAUUUCUAAUGCAAUCUUCGUUGCGCAAUUUCGAAAAUAUUAUUAAAUGCAAUCUUAUCUGUGUAAUGGGCGAUCCUCAUCCUCAACAUUCGAUUAACAACAUUCUCGAUUCACUGGUUUCAAUUUUAAGUUUCAAAUUUUAUUGUUUA